ACAGCAGCCGCCGCGGGAAUACGGAGGAUCCAAGCGUUAUCCGGAAUCAUUGGGUUUAAAGGGUCCGUAGGCGGUCUUGUAAGUCAGUGGUGAAAGCCCAUCGCUCAACGGUGGAACGGCCAUUGAUACUGCAGGACUUGAAUUAUUGGGAAGUAACUAGAAUAUGUAGUGUAGCGGUGAAAUGCUUAGAGAUUACAUGGAAUACCAAUUGCGAAGGCAGGUUACUACCAAUUGAUUGACGCUGAUGGACGAAAGCGUGGGUAGCGAACAGGAUUAGAUACCCGUGUAGUCCCUGUCUCUUAUAC
rnacentral:rRNA from 1 species